UACAGAGGGGGCAAGCGUUGUUCGGAAUUACUGGGCGUAAAGGGCGCGUAGGCGGCCUGUUAAGUCGAACGUGAAAUCCCUGGGCUCAACCCAGGAACUGCGUCCGAUACUGGCAGGCUUGAAUUCGGGAGAGGGAUGCGGAAUUCCAGGUGUAGCGGUGAAAUGCGUAGAUAUCUGGAGGAACACCGGUGGCGAAGGCGGCAUCCUGGACCGAUAUUGACGCUGAGGCGCGAAAGCUAGGGGAGCAAACGGGG
rnacentral:rRNA from 1 species